UUGUUCGGCUUUAUGAGAUUGUUCUAUUGGAGCUCACCUUCAAUUCCAAGCCCAUCAUCACUGAUCUGACGAUAGUUGCAGGAGAGCAUAGAUCGCACGGUGAGGGCAUCGCAGAUGCUAUAUGCUCUAGGAUUAUUGAGGGUAUUAGCUAGACAUUUGGAAGCGUAUCUGUUCGAAGGUUCCAGCUAAGCAAAAACUGCCUUCUUUAUACCUUUUGGAUAGCAUUGUGAAGAAUAUUGGCAGUGAAUAUGUUAAGUAUUUCUCUGCCCGCUUGCCUGAGGUUUUCCGUGAGGCCUAUGCACAGGUCCACCCCAACAUGCAUCCUGUAAUGCGCCGUCUUUUUAAUACCUGGUCAACGGUGUUCCCAACAUCAGUACUUAGAAAGAUUGAGGCACAGUUGCAAAUUUUUCCUUCUGCAAACCAUCAGUCUUCCGAUGUGACUCUCUUGAGAGCUUCCGAGUCUCCACGGCCUACGCAUGGCAUACAUGUUAAUCCAAAAUAUUUGGAAUCCCAGCAUUACCGUCGACAUUCAACUGUAGAUACAGUGAGCUUUUAGUGAAGUCUUUAUUGUUUCUACUAUUUACCACUCUUUUCCUUUCUCUUGCGAAUAUCAGCUUAACCAUUGCUGUAGAAUAACUAUAUUCAGCUUUUAUGUUGUAAAUGCUAUUUCAUUUGAUAUUAUCAGUAUAACUACCUUCAAAAAUAUUGAUAGCAGUGCUGUGAUAUAUCAUUGUUUUCCUUC